rnacentral:ncRNA from 1 species
UGAUAGCAAUGAAGCGUGAGGUUGCUGCCCGGUUUGAGGCAGGUUUUCCGUGGAGCGAAUGUCAAGUUAGGAAACUGGCGACAA